ACKGCUCAGUAACACGUAGUCAACCUAACUCGUGGACGUGGAUAACCUCGGGAAACUGAGAAUAAACCACGAUAGAUCAUAGUGCCUGGAAUGGCUUAUGGUCCAAACAGUUUACUGCCAUGGGAUGGGACUGCGGCCUAUCAGCUUGUUGGUGAGGUAAUGGCCCACCAAGGCGAUUACAGGUACGGGCUCUGAGAGGAGAAGCCCGGAGAUGGGUACUGAGACACGGACCCAGGCCCUAUGGGGCGCAGCAGGCGAGAAACCUUAGCAAUGUGCGAAAGCACGACUGGGUCAGUCCGAGUGAUUCCUGAUAAAGGAGUCUUUUGCUUGUCCUAAAAGCACAGGUGAAUAAGGGGUGGGCAAGUCUGGUGUCAGCCGCCGCGGUAAUACCAGCACCUCGAGUGGUCAGGACGUUUAUUGGGCCUAAAGCAUCCGUAGCCGGCUCUGCAAGUCUUCGGUUAAAUCCACCUUCGCCACAGAUGGGCCGCUGGAGAUACUACAAAGCUAGGGAGUGGGAGAGGCAGACGGUAUUCUCGGGGUAGGGGUAAAAUCCUAUAAUCCCGGGAAGACCACCAGUGGCGUAGGCGGUCGGCUAGCACGCGCUCGACGGUGAGGGACGAAAGCUGGGGGAGCGAACCGGAUUAGAUACCCGGGUAGUCCCAGCUGUAAACGAUGCUGGCUAGGUGUUGAAGCGGCUACGAGCCGCUUCAGUGCCGCAGGGAAGCCAUUAAGCCAGCCGCCUGGGGAGUACGGCCGCAAGGCUGAAACUUAAAGGAAUUGGCGGGGGAGCAC
rnacentral:rRNA from 1 species